GGAGGAGUUCGGGGAGGCCAUGGAGGAGGACUAUCGUUCCGCUCAAAGUGAUUCUGGCAAACUGUUCAACGCCUCAGGAGGGGGAAGCAGUUCUCCACCAACUCUGUUUUCAGAGGAGGUGGACAGCUGUUGACCUUGACUGGGGAUGUUAUCGGACAAUGGAGGGAGUCGUGGUUUCAGCUUUAAAACAAACCUGGUGCCCCAACUUCGAGGUAUAUUAAUGUUUCGGCAUUAAUAUCAAACUAUUAAUAAUUUGAAUCCGCUACAAUGUUUAAUAUGUAAUUGUAUAAGAUAAAAAAUAUUACAUUUUCAAUCUAUUUAUUUAUUACUCUAACUUAUAAACCACACACAUGCAUGCAGGCACACGAAUUGACAGGCGUCCCCUUUGUAUUCAUCCGGGCUUCUCAAACAGGUGAGUUCCAUCAGCAGUACGAUUUGCUGUUGCUCCUUGAGAAAAAAAACUUGUUCUUGCGCUACCGCUUGCUCUGUGGAAGCGUCAGGUGAGCUAAAAGAGAAAACAAUAUUAACAAAUAAUCAAAUCUCUUACAGUUACUAUGAGAUUAAUACUAAUACUGCUACAUAAAUCAUUAUACAAAUACAGUUAAGCCACGGUGCUUCUUACCACUCUGCUGCAUUAGUGCUUUCUUCUCGUCAUUCGACAGCAAGUCCUGGUGGUGGGAUACACAGCCCUGACCAGUCAGUGCCUGGCAUUUCUCAUCAAACAUCUGUUUGUGAUGUGGACGAACAAACUGGUAGAAGCCUGAGACAUCAAAUGAGACAGAACAGGAAUGACUACUAAAUCAGCCGAUGACUGCAUCUAACGACCGGCACCUGAUGGAGGAGCGCAGGUGGACGUGGUCUAGAGCCUUUAAAGCACAGGUGUCCAGCUCCAGUCCUUAAAGGGGCUACUGUCUGGAAAAGCCAACUGACACCUGAUCAUGGUAAUCAUCCCUGCUAGUUUUGGAAAACUAGUUGGAAAUCCCUACAACUAGCAGGGAUGAUUACCAUGAUCAGGAUCAUGUCUUCUAUCCAUUAAUGUC
rnacentral:lncRNA from 1 species